UUAUAAAUCCCAGCGGGCAAUUUACAUAGUUCUUCUGUGCCCCAGGGAGACUUGGACGAGCUCUGAUAGCCACAAACUCUGGCAGCUUAUUAAAUAUUGGACUGAGACGAAGGGAAAAGAAAGUCAAGGCAUUAGCAAGUCUCUGACAGAAGGACAGUUGGAGGCCACAGAAGGAGUUUAUAGAUGGCAAGACUCCUACUUCUAAUUCCAGGCCAACAGAGCCCUCUGGACAAAGCCCUUCACCCUUCUGAAGGCUUGACCAAGAAUCCACCAUCCGUGGGGCUGACCCUGAGCCCAGCCCCGGCUCUGGGAAUGCAGAGGAAAACGGGACAGAGAUCACACAGGCUGCUGUGUUGAGAAGAGGUUCAGGGGCAAAGGUGGAAGCAGAGAGACCUGUGAAGAAACAAUGGUGAUAAUGCCGCUGAAUCAAGAUGGCCGCUGGGACCAGAGGCGGAGCUGUGGGUGGUGAGACGUGGUAUAGAGCAAAGUGGUUCAGUUACGUGCUUUUAAGAAGACUGUCUCGUAGAACAACAUCUGUCUAUCAGUGACCCUUUUCCCUUGGGAGAUGCCAAGUUCGUAUCCAGCCUCAAGAUCCCCUGUUCAGACUCACCUCCCACGAUGACAAUCCGCUCGCCAAGCACCACGGCAGGGGCACAUACGUUCUUGAUCAUUCUCGUCUCCAUUUUGAACCACAUGUUUCUGGAAAUGUGAUAAACCUGAGGGAAAAAUAUAAUCACGGCACUGCAUUUUAAAGUGAUAAUAGGUGUUUUUGUUUAACUAAG